UUCAGCGCUCAAAAAAAAAAGUAAAAAAAAAAUAGUUAAAUAAACAGCAGCAAAAAUUUUACGCAAAAAAAUACUUUGCACCUUUGUGCAAAUUAUUUUGUCGUCAAAAAGUUAACCUCAAAAUUCAGACUGCGCCUGUUGAACGUGACUCACUGGCCCAAAACUUCUAUGGCCCUUUUUCGCUCAUAACAUCAUUACUUUGGGCAGAAAACCGAAAAAAAAAUAUAUAUGCUAAAUGCCGGCUACAACAACAACUGUAACGACAUCAGAAGCGAAAAUCCCAAAAAUAAAAUGGAGGAAAGGAAAGAAAUCCAGGAAAGAAACUCCAACGGCAAAGUGGCUACACAGUGCGAAAAGUUCUUUUAGUGAUUCACCAGUGAAAACUUAGUGAACAUGCCCUUUUCCGAUUUUUCCGCCCUUCUGACAUUUACCAUCUUACUGGCGAAAACAGAGAAUAAUAAAGCGAAUCAUAAAGAAAAUCAAAAGAAAAUAGAACCGACUUAACCAAAAAAUACACAGAAAGAUAUUUCUCGGUAUAUGUAUUUUAAUUAGUUUUCUAUAAAUAAAACAUUUUGCAACAAAUGUGAAGAGAAAUCUUCUCUUAAUAAAUGAGCUUUUUGAUUUAUAACAUA